rnacentral:rRNA from 1 species
CCUACGGUGGGCAGCAGUGAGGAAUAUUGGUCAAUGGGCGCGAGCCUGAACCAGCCAAGUAGCGUGAAGGAUGACUGCCCUACGGGUUGUAAACUUCUUUUAUAAAGGAAUAAAGUGAGGCACGUGUGCCUUUUUGUAUUUACUUUAUGAAUAAGGAUCGGCUAACUCCGUUCCAGCCGCCGCGGUAAUACGGAGAAUCCGAGCGUUAUCCGGAUUUAUUGGGUUUAAAGGGAGCGUAGAUGGGUUGUUAAGUCAGUUGUGAAAGUUUGCGGCUCAACCGUAAAAUUGCAAUUGAUACUGGCAGUCGUGAGUACAGUUGAGGUAGGCGGAAUUCGUGGUGUAGCGGUGAAAUGCUUAGAUAUCACGAAGAACUCCGAUUGCGAAGGCAGCUUACUAAACUGCCACUGACAUUGAUGCUCGAAAGUGUGGGUAUCAAACAGGAUUAGAUACCCCGGUAGUC